rnacentral:rRNA from 1 species
AAGAAGCAAAGAAGAGCGGAUGGUGGAUGCCUUGGCUCUGAAAGACGAUGAAGGACGUGAGAAGCUGCGAGAAGUUGUGGUGAUUAGCGAAUACAAAAAAAAUGAUCCACAAAUUUCCGAAUGAGGGAACUCGCUGAAUAUGAAAAUUCAGCCUCAUUUUGAGGGAAACCUGGAGAACUGAAACAUCUAAGUAACCAGAGGAAAAGAAAACAAAAGUGAUUCUGUAAGUAGCGGCGAGCGAAACCAGAAAAGCCCAAACUAUUAUUUGCUAUAAUGGGGUUAUAGGACUAUAAGAUUGAUUAAUUAUUAUAUAAUAGAAUAUUUUGGAAUAAAUAUCCAUAGAAGGUGAAAGACCUGUAUAUGAAAUAUAAUACUAACAGAGUAGGAUCCUGAGUAAAACGGGACACGUGAAAUCCUGUUUGAAUUUCCCAGGACCAUCUGGGAAGGCUAAAUACUUGUCAGAGACCGAUAGUGAACUAGUACCGUGAGGGAAAGGUGAAAAGAACUUCGAAGAGAAGAGUGAAAGAGAUCCUGAAACCAUCCGCUCACAAGCAGUCGAAGCUUUUUUAGAAAGUAAGCUUUUUUAGAAAGUAACGUCGUGCCUUUUGCAUAAUGAACCUACGAGUUAAUUAUUCCGGCAAGGUUAAAUAAUUAAGUUAUGGAGCCGGAGCGAAAGCGAGUAUGAAAUAUGCGAUGAGUCGGUAUAAUUAGACGCGAAACCGAGUGAUCUACCCAUGGGCAGGUUGAAGCGAUGGUAAAACAUAGUGGAGGACCGAACUGGUAAACGUUGAAAAGUUUUCGGAUGACCUGUGGGUAGGAGUGAAAGGCUAAUCAAACUCGGAGAUAGCUCGUACUCCCCGAAAUGCAUUUAGGUGCAGCAUUGUGUAAAAAUAUUACAGAGGUAGAGCUACUGAUUAGAUGAGGGGACUUCAUCGUCUACUAAUUCUUGACAAACUCCGAAUGCUGGAAUAUGUGACACAAUAGUGAGGGCCUGGGUGCUAAGGUCCAGGUCCGAGAGGGAAACAACCCAGACCAACAGCUAAGGCCCCAAAGUAUAUACUAAGUUGAAGAAACGAAGUUCAUUUACGAUGAUAGCUAGGAUGUUAGCUUGGAAGCAGCUAUUCAUUUAAAGAGUGCGUAACAGCUCACUAGUUUAGUGAUUGAGCAUGGAUAAUAAUCGGGCAUAAGUAUAUCGCCGAAGCUAUGGGAUUUUAAAAUCGGUAGGGGAGCAUUGUAAUGACAGAGAAGUUAUAUUUAAAAAUAUAGUGGAGUGAUUACAAAAGAAAAUGUAGGUAUAAGUAACGAUAAUGCAGGUGAGAAACCUGCACACCGAAAGACUAAGGUUUCCUCAGCUAUGUUAAUCAACUGAGGGUUAUUCGGAACCUAAGGUUAAACCGAAAGGUGGAAUUGAUGGAUUACUAUUUAAUAUUAUAGUAUAUAUUUAAUAUUAUUGUCAUGAGGUGACGAAGUGAUGAAAUUGUCGCGUGCUGCCGGAAAUGCACGUUAAAUUUGUUAGGUAGAUUAUAUAUAGGAAAAUCCGUAUAUAUUAACUAAACUGAAAGAGUACCAGAACUUUUAAAAAAAAAAGUUAACUGGAAAGUAUAACUAAUAGCUUCCAAGAAAACCCUCUAAACAAUUUGAAGAUUGAAGAUUUAAGAUUGAUUGAAGAUUUAAAUUUAAGAUUGAUUGAAGAUUGAAUAUUCCGUACCAAAACCGACACAGGUAGUUGGGGUUAAGAUCCUAAGGUGCUCGAGUGAAUCACGGCUAAGGAACUAGGCAAAAUAAACCUGUAACUUAGGGAAAAAGGUUGCCCUCAAUUUUUUAAAAUUAGAGGGCCGCAGUAAAAAGGUCCAGGCGACUGUUUAUCAAAAACACAGGGCUCUGCUAAAUUGAAAGAUGAUGUAUAGGGUCUGACACCUGCCCGGUGCUGGAAGGUUAAGGAAGGAGGUUAACAGAUUUGUAAAGCCUUUAACUGAAGCCCCAGUAAACGGCGGCCGUAACUAUAACGGUCCUAAGGUAGCGAAAUUCCUUGUCGGGUAAGUUCCGACCUGCACGAAUGGUGUAACGAUCUGGACACUGUCUCGGCCGUAAGCUCGGUGAAAUUGUAGUAUCGGUGAAGAUGCCGAUUGCUCGCAAUGGGACGAAAAGACCCUGUGAACCUUUACUAUAGCUUCGUAUUGAUUUUGAUUACUUAAUGUGUAGGAUAGGUGGGAGACUUUGAAACAUUAUCGCUAGAUAGUGUGGAGUCAUCCUUGAAAUACCACCCUUUAUUUAAUUGUAAUCUAACUUAAAAAAGAAUAAGGACAUUGCGUGGUGGGUAGUUUGACUGGGGUGGUCGCCUCCAAAAAAGUAACGGAGGCUUCCAAAGGUGCCCUCAACACGUUUGGUAAUCGUGUAUAGAGUGUAAUGGCAUAAGGGCGCUUGACUGUAAGACUUACAAGUCGAACAGAUACGAAAGUAGGGCAUAGUGAUCCGGUGGUUCUGGAUGGAAAGGCCAUCGCUCAAAGGAUAAAAGGUACUCCGGGGAUAACAGGCUAGUCUCCCCCAAGAGCUCACAUCGACGGGGAGGUUCGGCACCUCGAUGUCGGCUCGUCACAUCCUGGGGCUGAAGAAGGUCCCAAGGGUUGGGCUGUUCGCCCAUGAAAGUGGCACGCGAGCUGGGUUCAGAACGUCGUGAGACAGUUCGGUCUCUAUCUAUUGCGAGCGUUAGAAGCUUGAGUGGAUCUAACUCUAGUACGAGAGGACCGGGUUGGACGAACCUAUGGUAUAUCAGUUGUAUCGCCAGGUGCAUUGCUGAGUAGCUAUGUUCGGAUAAGAUAAGCACUGAAAGCAUAUAAGUGCGAAACGAACCACAAGAUGAGGCUUCUUUUAAGGGUCGUUGAAGAUGACAACGUUGAUAGGCUAUAAGUGUAAAGAUAGUAAUAUAAGAGCUGAGUAGUACUAAUUCCCCGUAAGCUUCUAAAU